rnacentral:tmRNA from 1 species
GGGGGCGAAAUGGCUUCGACGGAGAGACGCGAAGCGGACGGGUGCAUGCCGAGGCGCCUGGCCUCGUAAAAACGGGCACCAACAUAACUGCUGACCACGAGUUGGCACUCGCUGCUUAACAUUAAGUAGCGCGCGGAACGGAGGACGUGCUCGGCGUCGCCGUACCGUGUCAUUUUUCCGAGCUGGCCGCCCGGGGGCGCCCUUAUCUCGGGCGGCGAGAAACUAAGGGCUGGCCGCUCGGUAUCCCGCCCGGCGGAGACUCGGCGGCGAGAUAAAAAGCCGAGCUGAGCAUGGAGUGCCCGCCGUGUAGCCUUUUCGGACGGGGGUUCGAUUCCCCCCGCCUCCAGUC